UACGAAGGGGGGCUAGCGUUGUUCGGAAUUACUGGGCGUAAAGCGCACGUAGGCGGACAUUUAAGUCAGGGGUGAAAUCCCAGAGCUCAACUCUGGAACUGCCUUUGAUACUGGGUGUCUUGAGUAUGGAAGAGGUGAGUGGAAUUCCGAGUGUAGAGGUGAAAUUCGUAGAUAUUCGGAGGAACACCAGUGGCGAAGGCGGCUCACUGGUCCAUUACUGACGCUGAGGUGCGAAAGCGUGGGGAGCAAACAGG
rnacentral:rRNA from 1 species